UACAGAGGGGGCGAGCGUUGUUCGGAAUUACUGGGCGUAAAGGGCGCGUAGGCGGCCUGCUAAGUCAUACGUGAAAUCCCUCGGCUCAACCGGGGAACUGCGUGUGAUACUGGCGGGCUUGAAUCCGGGAGAGGAAUGCGGAAUUCCAGGUGUAGCGGUGAAAUGCGUAGAUAUCUGGAGGAACACCGGUAGCGAAGGCGGCAUUCUGGACCGGCAUUGACGCUGAGGCGCGAAAGCCAGGGGAGCAAACGGG
rnacentral:rRNA from 1 species